CCUUCAAUCCUUCAAUCCCAACCCCAACCUCAAGUUUCUCUCCUUCAAUCCUUCAAGGAUUUCACCUCUCUCAGUAAAUCUGCGUGCACCUAAAUGCAGCAGGGUGUCACUAGAUUGACAGGCGACACUACUUUCAUUGCGUUCAAGAGAUUAGAGAUGCAAAACUGUUCUCAGGCCCAAUAUCGUGCACCUAGAUUAAUUCUUUUACAUUCAAUGGUUUAUUCUUUUUCAACUAAAGAAAAUUCUAUUCUGGUUUGAACUGGUAAAUGGUUAAUUCCGUACAUUGUAUUGGAAUAUUUUAUUUGAUUGGUAAUUACCUUUCUUGGCUGGUUGUUAAAAGUAUUCUGGGAAUCAAGGUUCUGUCCUAUCAAUUCAAGUUGUUUGUUCAAGUGAGUUUUUUUCGUAACAAGGGAGAGAAAAGGCUUCCUAGAUUUUGUUAGAAAUUUGGAUAUAUGAUCGCCCUUUCUUUCUGUGUAAAAUUGACAUCACUUAGGAUUUUUAUCAAGAUACCUCUAAACAGAAAUUGAGUUGUUGCCAAACAAAUUCAUUGGUUGUUUACUUGCAGAUGCUACCUAUAUCUUUUGUAAUCUUAUUUUGAGAAAACAUUUAGAGGUUUUGCUCAGUAUUUCCAGAAUUGUGUGGUUUAUAGUCCUAUAUUUGUUGUACAGGUACCAAUAUGCCGCAAUGAAGUGGAAAAAUGUUUAAUAGACUUUAAAAAACUCUAUAUAUUUGUCAGGAAACCAGUUGUCAUGUGGUUAUAUACUCAAAGCUUCUGAUUUAUCAAACAGGGUAAUUUAUCAAUGAGGGCAAAGGCAUUCAAAGUGUUGAGGAGGAAACCAGCUCAGGUUAAAUCUGAUUUACAUGACCAGCUAACAUAGUAGUACGUGUGAUUUACUAUGGGAGAUGGAAGAUUACAUGUUUCUUGCAAUAAGUCUAGCAUUGAUUUGGAUGAAAAUGUAUGUUGAUGGAACAUUCUGAAUUAUAGGUUAACUACUGCCUCUGCCAUCACUGGAUCAUGGACAAGAAGAAAGGUAUUCAGAAGACUGGCCACCACAAGUAUCAUCACUUUAUUUUGGCUCUGUGUGGAGAGAAGUGAGAGGGGAAGAGAGAUGGUGGCCUGGAGCUUGGAGAAGAUAAGCCCAUCAAUGGUUGCUGCUUCACUUGAUUCUAGAGAAGCAGAACUAGCCAUAUAUAGUUAUAUACAUAACCUGCAUUUAUUUACGUGUUAAAGUUUGAUAUAAAUCCUUCUUACUCCAUUUAGGUACAUUUUUCAUCUCUCUAAUAGAAGUUGCGACAUUCUUUCUUUUUCUUUCAGUAUUGUCGUCAAAUGAUCAGUUGCAGUAUGGUGUUUAUUAUUUGAAAAUCCUAACUGAUCGAUCUAUUUAGUAUUUUGUCGAAGCUUCGGAUUAUCAACUGGCCCAUGUCUAUGUCA